rnacentral:lncRNA from 1 species
GCUGAUUAGCAUUUUCAUUAGAUAUAAGCAAAAUGGUUGAGUGGUUGAGUGGUUAUGAAGUGUUGGCAUAGAUGCCACUGCAUGUUGAUUCAAAUAUGUGCUUUAUUGGUUUUCAAUUCUGGAUCAUGCCCCAAUUGAUUGAGACAAAGAAUUGAUAAUUUGCAUUUAUUCAGCUGUAUUUUUUGCCUAUGUUUGUUUUUCAUAGGCAUGUCUGUCCUGAAACAUUGUCAAAAUUUCCUCCGAUGAAAUUAGGACAUACAUUUAUUAGUUGCCCUUUUUUGCGUUUCAACUCUAAGCAAAAGGAAAUAACUUUUCUUUGAAACAAAUAGUUUAACCAGCCACAGACACAUGUAGAAACCUAUGAUAUCAUGUAAAGUU